AAACUCAACUUCCGUGUGGUCCUGGUGGGCCUGGAGAUUUGGAAUAGUCAGGACAGGUUCCACGUCAGCCCCGACCCCAGUGUCACACUGGAGAACCUCCUGACCUGGCAGGCACGGCAACGGACACGGCGGCACCUGCAUGACAACAUACAGCUCAUCACGGGUGUCGACUUCACCGGGACCACCGUGGGGUUUGCCAGGGUGUCUGCCAUGUGCUCCCGCAGCUCAGGGGCUGUGAAUCAGGACCACAGCAAGAACCCCGUGGGCGUGGCCUGCACCAUGGCCCACGAGAUGGGCCACAACCUGGGCAUGGACCAUGAUGAGAACGUCCAGGGCUGCCGCUGCCGGGAACGCUUCGAGGCCGGCCGCUGCAUCAUGGCGGGCAGCAUUGGGUGAGGCGGCCGGGCCCUGCAGAGCCAGGGUAUGCUGGAGGUACGAGGUGGGUGGGGAAGGGGCCAGGCCGCCUCCCCCAAUGCUGCCC
rnacentral:sRNA from 1 species